AUUGAACGCUGGCGGCAGGCCUAACACAUGCAAGUCGAGCGGAUGAAGAGAGCUUGCUCUCUGAUUCAGCGGCGGACGGGUGAGUAAUGCCUAGGAAUCUGCCUGGUAGUGGGGGACAACGUUUCGAAAGGAACGCUAAUACCGCAUACGUCCUACGGGAGAAAGCAGGGGACCUUCGGGCCUUGCGCUAUCAGAUGAGCCUAGGUCGGAUUAGCUAGGUGGUGAGGUAAUGGCUCACCAAGGCGACGAUCCGUAACUGGUCUGAGAGGAUGAUCAGUCACACUGGAACUGAGACACGGUCCAGACUCCUACGGGAGGCAGCAGUGGGGAAUAUUGGACAAUGGGCGAAAGCCUGAUCCAGCCAUGCCGCGUGUGUGAAGAAGGUCUUCGGAUUAUAAAGCACUUUAAGUUGGGAGGAAGGGCAGUAAGUUAAUACCUUGCUGUUUUGACGUUACCGACAGAAUAAGCACCGGCUAACUCUGUGCCAGCAGCCGCCGUAAUAC
rnacentral:rRNA from 1 species